UACGAAGGAUGCAAGCGUUAUCCGGAUUUAUUGGGUUUAAAGGGAGCGUAGGCGGUCUUAUAAGUCAGUGGUGAAAUCUCGUUGCUUAACAACGACCGUGCCAUUGAUACUGUAGGACCUGAGUACAGUUGCCGUUGGCGGAAUGUGUCAUGUAGCGGUGAAAUGCAUAGAUAUGACACAGAACACCGAUUGCGAAGGCAGCUGACGCAACUGUAACUGACGCUGCGGCUCGAAAGCGUGGGGAUCAAACAGG
rnacentral:rRNA from 1 species